GACAGGGUCUGACACUGUUGGGGCAGAUUGUGCCAAAAAAGUGUCAAAGGAAUGGAAAGUGUGUGCCCACCCCACCACCACACAACCCCACCCCUACACAAAACAAUGCACACACAAAAAACUAAAUAAAUGAAUAAACACGAGAGAGAGAGAGAGAGAGAGAGAGAGAGAGAGAGAGAGACGCUUAUGUAUGCAUGUGUACAAAUGGUUGUUUCCUAGACUUCUGCAAUAGACCUUUUGUCCCUAGUCUAUGGUGCACUCAGUCUAGUCUUUCCCAGUCUGGGGACAGAGUAGGUUGGCAGAGGUUGCAGGACUGAGGGAAGGCUGGGACCUGGGACCUGGGGCAGUGUAUCCCCUAUCUGGGCACCCAGGAACAGAAGAGAAACACCAGAACAGUGGGAGCUUCCCCCACGGUUUCUACAUUGUGGCCUCCUGGGCCGGACCCUGUGCUGAAAACUUCUUAGAGCUCGAGUAGCAGGGGUCAGUGGCACCUCGGGUAACCCAUCUUACAGAUCAAAAAGAAAAUGACCUUUGCCCCAAAGGCUUGAUUCUUUAUAGAAUGUAGCUAACUGAUCUGCCCAGCCAAGUACCCGGCUGCACAGCUGUGAUCCUCUCUAUCCCCAACCCCUGACCCCGAGAAGCAGAAGGACACCACCAUGGACUUACACAGUGGAGCCGAAUCUCUAAAUAAAUAUCUUCAAAAAAGUGUCUGCGACUUGGCUUUUGUAUAUAGACUUUGUGAAUUAAAAAGGGCACAGGUAUGUGUGUGCCUUCCUGGACAGCCAGAACCCAGGCAGUGGGAAUGGUGGCCUUUUUUACACUCUACAGAUGUCUAAUAUUCAAUUUUAAGGUUUUUGUAUUUUUUUCUAUGUAAACCUCCUUCACCUAUUCAAGUCUUCAGUAAAGUCUGCUGAAACACAGAU
rnacentral:lncRNA from 1 species